ACGAACGCUGGCGGCAUGCCUAACACAUGCAAGUCGAACGAGACCUUCCGGUCUAGUGGCGCACGGGUGCGUAACGCGUGGGAACCUGCCCUUAGGUUCGGAAUAACUCCCCGAAAGGGGUGCUAAUACCGGAUAAUGUCUUCGGACCAAAGAUUUAUCGCCUUUGGAUGGGCCCGCGUUGGAUUAGCUAGUUGGUAGGGUAAAAGCCUACCAAGGCGACGAUCCAUAGCUGGUCUGAGAGGAUGAUCAGCCACACUGGGACUGAGACACGGCCCAGACUCCUACGGGAGGCAGCAGUGGGGAAUAUUGGACAAUGGGCGAAAGCCUGAUCCAGCAAUGCCGCGUGAGUGAUGAAGGCCUUAGGGUUGUAAAGCUCUUUUACCCGGGAUGAUAAUGACAGUACCGGGAGAAUAAGCUCCGGCUAACUCCGUG
rnacentral:rRNA from 1 species